rnacentral:rRNA from 1 species
GUAUAGAACCUACCUUUUACUGGAGAAUAGCCCAGAGAAAUUUGGAUUAAUGCUCCAUGGUAUCAUUUUUUGGCAUCCUUAAAUGAUUAAAGAUUUAUCGGUAGAAGAUGGCUAUGCGUUCUAUUAGCUAGUUGGUAUGGUAACGGCAUACCAAGGCGACGAUAGAUAGGGGUCCUGAGAGGGAGAUCCCCCACACUGGUACUGAGACACGGACCAGACUCCUACGGGAGGCAGCAGUGAGGAAUAUUGGACAAUGGAGGCAACUCUGAUCCAGCCAUGCCGCGUGUAGGAAGACUGCCCUAUGGGUUGUAAACUACUUUUAUAGAGGAAGAAACCGCUCUACGUGUAGAGCUCUGACGGUACUCUACGAAUAAGGAUCGGCUAACUCCGUGCCAGCAGCCGCGGUAAUACGGAGGAUCCAAGCGUUAUCCGGAAUCAUUGGGUUUAAAGGGUCCGUAGCGGGUUUGUAAGUCAGUGGUGAAAGUUUUCGGCUCAACCGGAAAAUUGCCAUUGAUACUGCAAGUCUUGAAUCGUUGUGAAGUGGUUAGAAUGUGUAGUGUAGCGGUGAAAUGCAUAGAUAUUACACAGAAUACCGAUUGCGAAGCAGAUCACUAACAAUGUAUUGACGCUAAGGGACGAAAGCGUGGGCAGCGAACAGGAUUAGAUACCCUGGUAGUCCACGCCGUAAACGAUGGUUACUAGCUGUUCGGAUUUCGGUCUGAGUGGCUAAGCGAAAGUGAUAAGUAACCCACCUGGGGAGUACGUUCGCAAGAAUGAAACUCAAGGAAUUGACGGGGGCCCGCACAAGCGUGGAGCAUGUGGUUUAAUUCGAUGAUACGCGAGGAACCUUACCAGGGCUUAAAUGUAGAUUGACAGGUUUAGAGAUAGACUUUUCUUCGGACAAUUUACAA